GAGCACGUAGGUGGGUUUGUAAGUCAGAUGUGAAAGCCUCCUGUUCAACGGAAGAAUUGCAUCUGAAACUGCGAGUCCUGAGUGUAGGAGGGGAGAAUGGAACUUCUGGUGGAGCGGUGAAAUGCGUAGAUAUCAGAAGGAACUCCGGCGGCGAAAGCGAUUCUCUGGCCUAUUACUGACACUCAGUGUGCGAAAGCUAGGGGAGCAAACGGGAUUAGAUACCCCGGUAGUCCUAGCCGUAAACGAUGGGCACUAAGUAGAGGGGUUUU
rnacentral:rRNA from 1 species